rnacentral:snRNA from 1 species
AGCUUUGCGCAGAGGCAGUACCGCAGGCAGUGAAGGUCCUCCUGAGCCGUGGUUAUUGCUAGUUGAAAACUUUUCCCAAUACCCCGCACUGCACUGCAACGCGGUGCAGGUGCAAUUUUUGGAAGCCCGGACGGG